UCAAUGUAUUCAUCAAACUUAUUCUUGGCUACUCUUCUUUUUUUCUUUUGCGGUUCUGUGUAGGCUGCAAUUCCAUCAUAGAUUUUUUUUUCCUAGUACGGGGUUAUUUUUUUUUUAUUUCUCGGGUGAAUGUUUCUUUUCUUCCUCUUGAGUUGGCUCUUCUUCAAUUUCUCCAAUAUUGAUGUUUUCCAUUGGUUGCGUCUUUUGGAUUGCAUUUGCUAAAAUAUUGAGAUUUCCCCGUUGAUCGAAUUUUAUAGAGUUGAGCAUCGUCACGAAGCUCAUUUCUGUGUACGCUUGUG
rnacentral:lncRNA from 1 species